AUGGUGGCGCCACUGCCGGUGAUGGCCGCAGGGUCAGCGCCACGAGGCAAGAUGGACGCCAGCCCAGCGCCACAGCACAGGGUGGUCACCAGCUCCACGCCACAAGGCCAGACGGUCGCCAGGCCAGCGCCAAUGCCCAAGAUGGCCGCUGAGACAUUGUUGGAUUACUUUUCCAUGUUGAACCAGAUCUUAGAGAUUCCCAGGGUGUUCACGUCAUGGCUGCUGAGCCAGCGCCAAUGCCCAAGAUGGCCACCAGCCCAGCACCACAGCACAAGAUGGCCGCCAGCCCAGAGCCAUUGCACAAGAUGGCCGCCAUCCCAGGCCCACUGCACGAGUGGGCCGCCAGCCCAGCGCCACAGCACGAGAUGGCCGAAUCCACACCGGUGUCGCCAGACAAGAGGGCCGACUCAACGCCUGAGUCUCUGGACAAGGUACUGCCGACUCGCAUACAGGGCGGAGGAGGAGACCGGCAUCGACCGUUCCUCAAGGGCCGGAGGCCGUUCCCGAGCAGGCCGCGGCCGUCCCAGAGGCCGUUCCCGAGCAGCCGGCCUGGAGGAGGUUCCCGAGCAGCCCGCUGCCGUCCCGGAGGCGGCGCCCGAGGCAGAGGCCGAUACGGUGCCCGAGGCGGUUCUUGAAGCCAAGGCGGUUCCUGAGGCGGUUGCUGAGGCCGUUCCCGAGGCGGUGCCCGAUGCUGUUCCGGAGGCCGAGGCGGUGCCCGAUGCCGUUCCGGAUGCCGAGGCGGUGCUCGAUGCCAAGGCGGUUCCUGAGGCCGUUCCUGAGGCAGUGCUCGAUCCGGAGGCCGAGGCGGUGCCCGAUGCGGUUCCGGAGGCCGAGGCGGUGCCCGAUGCGGUUCCAGAGGCCGAGAUGGUUCCCGAGGCCGAGGCUGUUCCCGAUGCGGUGCCCAAGGCCGAGGCAGUGCCCGAGGCGGGGUCCGAGGCCAUUCCUGAGGCGGUGCCCGAGGCGCUGUCCGAUGCGGUGCCCGAGAUGGUUCCCGAAGCCGAGGCACUUCAUGUCUCCACAGGCCGUCCAGAGCACCUUCACGUCUCCACAGGGGCCCCGGAAUGGCAGGUUCCGUCCUGGCCGCUCAAAUGGCGGGUUCCUCCCUGGCCGUCUGCACAACCUGAACUGACGGAUCCUCCGUGGCCACCUGAACUGCCUGGUCCCUUGUGGCCCCCUGAACUUUCGGGUCCACCCUGGGCCCCUAAACUGACUGAUCCACCUUGGCUACCGGUGGAGCCAUCGCUUCCUGUCCCUGUUCCCCUACAUGGGCCUGGCCCUCCGUCCCUCCCCCUGUUCUACCUCCACCAGUCCACCUCCCUCCUGGUCUUCUGGUUGUGGUGUUGUUGUUGUUGUUGUUGUUUUUGGGGUUUUUUUUCCACUUCCUGUCCCUGA
ensembl:lncRNA